UGGGACAGGAUGUGGAGUUGCACAGACAACCAGGAUGUUGGCUUAUAAGCAGCCACCAUUGAAAGAGUGCGUAAUAGCUCACUGGUCGAGUGACUCUGCGCCGAAAAUGUAACGGGGCUAAACACACCACCGAAGCUAUGGCUAGGUAUCUUACGAUACCCUGGGGUAGGGGAGCGUUGUAUGCGGGUAGAAGCUGGAUCGUGAGGACUGGUGGACUGCAUACAAGUGAGAAUGCCGGUAUGAGUAACGAAAAGAUCAGUGAGAAUCUGAUCCGCCGUAAGCCUAAGGGUUCCUGAGGAAGGUUCGUCCGCUCAGGGUAAGUCGGGACCUAAGGCGAGGCCGAAAGGCGUAGUCGAAGGACAACAGGUUGAAAUUCCUGUACCACCGUGAACCGUUAUGAGCAAUGGGGUGACGCAGAAGGAUAGUGACGCGAGCUGAUGGAUGCUCGUCCAAGCAGUGAGGCUGGUAUGCAGGCAAAUCCGCAUACCGUAAGGCUGGGCUGUGAUGGGGAGGGAAAAUUGCAGUACCGAAGGUCAUGAGUUCAAGCUGCCAAGAAAAGCCUCUAGCCAGGGAGAAGGUGCCCGUACCGCAAACCGACACAGGUAGGCGAGCAGAGCAUGCUAAGGCGCGCGGAAGAACUCUCGUUAAGGAACUCGGCAAAAUGACCCCGUAACUUCGGGAGAAGGGGUGCCCCGGUAGGGUUAAUAGCCCGAGGGGGCCGCAGUGAAAAGGCCCAAGCGACUGUUUAGCAAAAACACAGGUCUGUGCGAAGCCGCAAGGCGAAGUAUACGGGCUGACGCCUGCCCGGUGCUGGAAGGUUAAGGGGAGCGGUUAGGAGUAAUCCGAAGCUGUGAACCGAAGCCCCAGUAAACGGCGGCCGUAACUAUAACGGUCCUAAGGUAGCGAAAUUCCUUGUCAGGUAAAUUCUGACCCGCACGAAUGGCGUAACGACUUGGGCGCUGUCUCAACGAGAGAUCCGGUGAAAUUUUAAUACCUGUGAAGAUGCAGGUUACCCGCGACAAGACGGAAAGACCCCAUGGAGCUUUACUGCAGCUUGAUAUUGGACUUUGGUACGAUCUGUACAGGAUAGGUGGGAGCCAUUGAGACAUGAGCGCCAGCUUGUGUGGAGGCGACGUUGGGAUACCACCCUGAUCGUAUCGGAGUUCUAACUUGGUGCCGUGAUCCGGUACGAGGACAGUGUCAGGUGGGCAGUUUGACUGGGGCGGUCGCCUCCUAAAGUGUAACGGAGGCGUCCCAAGGUUCCCUCAGAAUGGUUGGAAAUCAUUCGAAGAGUGCAAAGGCAUAAGGGAGCUUGACUGCGAGACAAACAGGUCGAGCAGGGACGAAAGUCGGGCUUAGUGAUCCGGUGGUACCGAAUGGAAGGGCCAUCGCUCAACGGAUAAAAGCUACCCUGGGGAUAACAGGCUUAUCUCCCCCAAGAGUCCACAUCGACGGGGAGGUUUGGCACCUCGAUGUCGGCUCAUCGCAUCCUGGGGCUGAAGUAGGUCCCAAGGGUUGGGCUGUUCGCCCAUUAAAGCGGUACGCGAGCUGGGUUCAGAACGUCGUGAGACAGUUCGGUCCCUAUCUGUCGCGGGCGUAGGAAAUUUGAGAGGAGCUGUCCUUAGUCCGAGAGGACCGGGAUCGACGUACCGAUGGUUCCCGGUGUCCCGCCAGGAGCACGG
rnacentral:rRNA from 1 species